GUAGAGAAAAUUCCUCUGUGUGCAAUUUUAAUAUUACUUCUAAAUCUCUAUUACCAUGGAAUCUUACAGCAAAAAUGUAUGCAGUGGAGGGCAUGCAACUCCUUGAACAGUUAAGCCAACAGCUGACUGUCCUGAACAGCUGAGUUCAAACCAGUGGUGCCUGGUUUUCAGAUCUAAUGCCCACACUAGUCAGUUCUUCCAGUGGAGCCAUUAUUUUUCUCAAUGUUCUAAUCUUCUUUUCGAUGGUGUCCCUAUGUAGAAAGUCCUUGAAGCAAAUUUCCACCUUCAUUUUGUGUCUCCUUUAUCAUUGUAUGCUGUGAACUUCUUCUUGUGUGUUCUGCCAGCUCCUGUGAAGAUGUAAUGAUGCAUUCCUUCACUUGUUUAGGACCUGUAGCAACCACAGUAAAAGGUACAUACCAAGGUAUUUGAUACAUAAUAAGACAACACCUUAAUUUGAUUUAUUACCAAGAAAAAUAGGACAACUGGAAUAAGGAUGUCCUGGGCUUUCAUACUUGAGCAAUUACACACAUGUGGAAUGGAGCAGGAAUGAUUGUCAUCCUGCUAUGUGAGGUUAUCUCACUCCAGUUCCAGUUACUGAUGACCGUCUCUCAAGGCUUGAAAGAUCUGGAGUUGAAUGGACAUCAGAGAUGAGAAGGCUCAAAAGUAGAAUUUGGACUGGAGCUCCCUAUAGGGAGAAGUACAAAGGCCACCUUAGGUUUUAAACAGUCAGUAUGUUGCCUCAUACAUAUAAGAUAAUUUUGUAUCAUCAGUAGAUAAAUUUAUCUCAUGAAGUUUUCAAGUAUGUCUAUGUAUGUUCAGGUUUUGCUUUGUCUAUUUUGCAACACUUAAAAAUACAGUUGCAGAUCAAAACUAAAAUGAACACAAUCUUUGCAGGAUGUUACUUGCCACUAUUCCACAUCAGUUUCAUAUCUUUUUAAGAUCAUAAAUAAUCAUAAUAAUAUUUAUUUUUGUGGAAAAAAAAUAUACAUUGUUUGUACUCUAGAGAAUAGUUUACAUAGGUAAAAUGCAAGCUUGUUAGGCUUAUGACUAAAUUUACAGCUCAGUAUAAUACCAUUCAUAAGCUGUUAAACCAGAAAAACAGGGCCAAUACUACAUCAAAGACUCAUGAGAGAUAUGCUGUCUUAAUUCUUCUGAACCUGAUGGCCUCAUGACAUACCAAGGAAGAAGUGGUUGACUUUUUGAUUUAAAAAGCUUGGCCAUUAGAGCAAUAGUCCUGCAGUUUUCACUGCAGAAAAAUGUGUUACCACAUUAUCAAAAUUGUUUUGUAAUGUCUCAUGCUCUUUUAGGAUGUGCAGUUCAAUAACAUGCUGAUCCCUGAAAAUGAGAAUGUGGAAGCAAGAUUCAUGCUAAUGUAACCUUAGCUCUUCUUUAUUGAACAGAUGAUAGUCACUUGUAGUUGCCUGAUGAUGUCCCCAUCUUUAGAAGAUGAUUAAUUGAUGUAUUAGAGGAUUACCUGGAACAGCUUUCUCAAGCUGUUAAUUGGUAACGAGAUGCUUCAUCCUUCAGUACAAGAGGAUCAAAGCUCUCUUCAGGACCCACUCCAACAGAUGAUCACAAAGUUGAUUAGAAGGAGGGAACACCUCUCCUGUGAGGAAAGGCUGAGAGAGUGGGGGUUAUUCAACCUGGAGAAGAGAAGGUAGUAUACUUUGAAUACUUAAGUAGCAGUUGUAAAAUAGAUGGAGACAAACUUCUUAGCAGGGCCUGUUAUGACAGAAAGAAGUGCAAAAAUUUUAAAUGGAAGGAGGGUACAUUAAAGGUAGAUAUAAGGAAAAAAAAUUUUACAAUGAGGAUGGCGAAACACUGAUACAGGUUGCCCAGAGAGAUGGUGGAUACCCAGUCCCUGGAAACAUUCAGGUAGGAUGGGGCUCUGAGAACCUGAUCUAGUUGAAGAUGUCUCUGCUACUUGCAGGGGAGUUGGACUAGGUGACUUUUAAAAGCCCCUUCCAACCUGAACUAUUUUAUGAUUCUAUGAUCUACUCCAUUUAUAUGACCAAAAGAAAAUAGAGAUUCCCUAAGAUUCCCUAAGCAAUCCAGAAUGGCCAGAGCCAAGUUUUAUAGCAUGCAUCAAUGGUGAAUUCCUGUGUUCUUGUCAGGGCUUCUAAUGUACAGGGAUCCAUAUGUGUUAUAGGGGUCCAUUGUAGGCCUAAGAAGGGAUAACAUUGUGUAGGGAUUGGUGUGGCUGAGAAUAAAAUAGCAGUUUAUAAAAUUUAACAGGGUUAAUUUUAGGCACAUGACUAAAAGUUUGACUGCACAGUUGUAUGGGAUGCUUGGGUUAAUAUGUCUCAUGUAGACAUGUGCUUAUAUUUAGCAAGGGGAUAGAAUCAGUAUCAGAGCCUCAAUUCUAGAACAAUGUCUUCACAGGCAAAAUAAUACUAAUGUUAAACUACAGAUGCUCAAAGAGAGCAGAAUUUAGGUGAUUUUGGUGUAUAUCUUAACUCAUUAUUGCUUAUCUUCAAAAGUCUGAGUGACGAUGAACAUGGUGCAUGGUUGGUGUAUGACCUUAUUCUUAGCCUUCCUCUUCCUGUACACCAUUCUAUAGGAGAAGUGGACUAAUGCUUGUACUUCAAAAUAGCUAAAAUAUAUUUGGGUCAGUGAGAGAAACAAAAAAUUUGGUUUAACUGCCGAAUCCCUGUAGCAUAUUCGGGACAUCCCUUUCCUCUCCACUUACCUGCUUACUUUUCCCCAAAGACACCAGCUUUAUGCCAGACAGCAUUUCCAGCUCAUCCUCUUUAAUUCCUGUUUAAGUCUUGUAGGUGGCAAUGUAGGUAUGUAAAAAGCUGCUGUUUUCCAUCUCAUUUUAUUUUGCUGGACACACCGUAAAUGUCAGUUUACUUUAGGGUUCAGGAGUUCUGGGUUACCUGAGGUAUCUGAUGUCCUGCGAGUGCCUCUUUAUAAUGGUGUGAUUAGCUUCAUUAUUUUUAUUUGAAAAGGAAAUGGUGAGACUCUUCUUAUAUUCAACCUAGUGAAUUUAUACCAUGAUCUGAUUGAAAUAGUGAAUGCAUUGCAGCAGUUAAAUCACUAUGUUGAUCAGGAUAGAUCGAUGCCUUGGGAGGAAGAUGAGCCCAGGUCAUUGACUCCUCAGUAGUUUAUGCACAGCAUUGGUAUGUUAACAAAGAGCCUGUGAUUACUAUAGUCACCCAAAUCAUAUACAACCACAUGGCUAAAAGAAAUAAGAGGUCAAGAUUUUCUGGCAGCACCUCCUGGAAGGAGCAGAGCUGAGAUCUGUGAUUUGCUUGUAAGAGCUUUAUUUGUCUGUAGUGAAGAGACUUAUUUAAGUCUCAUGGAAGUGGAAUGUGCUGCAGUUUUGCCCUUCCCAGUCUGAGGGUUAAAUUUGCAUUUCUUUCGAUGUCUCUCCAGCUAACAUGAAAAUAACUUCCAUGUGUCACUACUCUCCUUAAAAAUAGUUGGAGUUCCUUCAAAAUUAUGUUUGGUAUUCAGAAUAUACCCCCAAACUACAAUUAUCCCCAAGUACUUGAAUGUAGUUUUAUUUUCUUUAUUUCAGUGUUUUCUUGAGAACUACAAGACCUACCCUGUUCCUUCUUCGGUGCUAAAAACAUCAGUAUGCCAAUAUACAACUGCUGUCUUAAACUCCCAGCAUCUUUCUGAAUUUUAGAUUUAAUAGGCUCUUUCAUGUUUCUUCUAAUAGACAAAGAAAUGAGGAGUGAGGUAAAGUUCCUUUGUAGGGAGCACAGUGAAACUUGGUUUUUAGUAUGUGUUGAGACCCCAGGACCCUUGUCUCAUGAUCUUGGAUUCUGACCACAAUGACACAUUACUAACCAAGAUGUCUCUGCCAGUGAUAUCAUCAGGAACAUUUGGCAGAAUGGCAUAGAAGUUGCAUUUCCAUACUUUUUGUGAAGAGUUGUAGGAGAGAGGAGAGUUGAACUGAGAGAAACGUAGGAAGAAUUGAGUCACUGCCUGCUCAGAGGCAGACAGCACUUGGCCAGUCCUUCAGUGCUGUCUGAACAGGGUGCUCUCAGUCCCCAGCCAAGCCAGCAGGAGCUAUGGAGAGGAGACCAAGCUAUGGAGAGAAGACAUCAAGGAUGUGAACCAAAUAGCCUCAGCUAGGCAUACAAGGGUUGACUGAAGGUGUGGCAGGGUCCUGCUUUGAUGGGAAAGACUUGGAAGGGUUAGGAAGGGAUACGAAAGAGUGGGCAGGGGUGCUGUGAUGGUGUUGCUGGGGAUACGUAGGGUGUUGUGCACGGCCAAUUAGUAGUGCUGCCCAUGGAACAAUUUGGGAGCUCUGAUAACAGUUGAGAGGAAGAGAUGAGAAGAAAACAAGGGUGGCAGAGAAUAGUUCUGUUUUCUUUUGUGGUGAAGUGGGAUUUCAGCGAAGGGUGCAAGAUCACAUCUAGGACCAAUAAUACAGCUUUGCAGGCUCUUUCACCAAGAAUGUUUUUGUUUCUUUGAAGAUGAGAUUACUAGAUGUGACAGAGCUGUCUGUCUCCAUGGUAGCAGAGCAGGCUAUGGAGGGAACAAAUGCAAACCAAGUUUUCAUUUUGGCUAAUGUUGUUUUCUCAGGGCUUGCCUACACCAGGACACUUUGGAAUGUUAAAAUGAAAUAAAUUACUGCACAUAUGCUAAGUUGCACUAAACUUCUGUGUGGAUGUUCUCAGUCAUUGUAACAGGUCACCAUAUUUAUUCUACUAAGAAAAUUAAACUGCCCUUCGUCUAAAUGUAAAUGUAAUAAAGACUU
ensembl:lncRNA